CCACAUUACGUUGAAACCCCAGUAUCCAUAUGAUCACCGAAGUUAAGCAGCAUUGAGCACUGUCAGUAACUCGAUGGGUAACCACUUUGGAAUAUCAGAUGCUGUAAG